GGCUGGUCUGAAGGUAGCGAGUUAUCUUGAUUGUUCAGUCAGUUACAGAUUAAACUCCUUGUUCUAUUCUUUCCUCCCUUUUCACUUCUGCACUUGACUAGCCGAAU
ensembl:Y_RNA Y_RNA Y RNA